rnacentral:rRNA from 1 species
AGUGAACGCUGGCGGUAGGCCUAACACAUGCAAGUCGAACGGCAGCACAGUAAGAGCUCGCUCUUACGGGUGGCGAGUGGCGGACGGGUGAGGAAUACAUCGGAAUCUACUUUUUCGUGGGGGAUAACGUAGGGAAACUUACGCUAAUACCGCAUACGACCUACGGGUGAAAGCAGGGGAUCUUCGGACCUUGCGCGAUUGAAUGAGACGAUGUCGGAUUAGCUAGUUGGCGGGGUAAAGGCCCACCAAGGCGACGAUCCGUAGCUGGUCUGAGAGGAUGAUCAGCCACACUGGAACUGAGACACGGUCCAGACUCCUACGGGAGGCAGCAGUGGGGAAUAUUGGACAAUGGGCGCAAGCCUGAUCCAGCCAUACCGCGUGGGUGAAGAAGGCCUUCGGGUUGUAAAGCCCUUUUGUUGGGAAAGAAAAGCAGCAGGUUAAUACCCCGCUGUUCUGACGGUACCCAAAGAAUAAGCACCGGCUAACUUCGUG